GAGAGAGAGAGAGAGAGAGAGAGAGUCCUGAUGUCAUAUUAGAGACUAAUCCUGCUACACUGUGUGUGUGUGUGUGUGUGUGUGUGUGUGUGUGUGUGUGUGUGUGUGUGUGUGUGUGUGUGUGUCAGAGAGAGCGGACAUCUGUAAACAGCACUAACACACACACUAACACAUGCAAACGCACACUCCAGACUCUUGUUUACUUCUGUCUACAGGUGUAUAGAUGUACGAUAUAUAGAUAUAUAGAUGUAUAGAUGUCUUUCUUCUUCUCUCAGGGUUCAGGUCUUUCUUUUCUCAGGGUUCAGGUCUUUCUUUUCUCAGGGUUCAGGUCUUUCCUCUGUCCUCAGGGUUCAGGUCUUUCUUUUCUCAGGGUUCAGGUCUUUCCUCUGUCCUCAGGGUUCAGGUCUUUCCUCUGUCCUCAGGGUUCAGGUCUUUCUUCUGUCCUCAGGGUUCAGGUCUUUCCUCUCUCAGGGUUCAGGUCUUUCUUCUCUCAGGGUUCAGGUCUUUCCUCUGUCCUCAGGGUUCAGGUCUUUCCUCUGUCCUCAGGGUUCAGGUCUUUCUUCUGUCCUCAGGGUUCAGGUCUUUCCUCUCUCAGGGUUCAGGUCUUUCUUUUCUCAGGGUUCAGGUCUUUCCUCUGUCCUCAGGGUUCAGGUCUUUCCUCUGUCCUCAGGGUUCAGGUCUUUCUUCUGUCCUCAGGGUUCAGGUCUUUCCUCUCUCAGGGUUCAGGUCUUUCUUCUGUCCUCAGGGUUCAGGUCUUUCCUCUGUCCUCAGGGUUCAGGUCUUUCUUCUCUCAGGGUUCAGGUCUUUCUUCUGUCCUCAGGGUUCAGGUCUUUCCUCUCUCAGGUGUUAAAUCUUGUAGUUCCUCACAAAGUCCUCAGAUACUGAUUAACAGGACCCCCCCCCCAGGAUCUAAAUUUAGCCCCCUGAGCCCGGGGCCCUCUGAGGCCCUGUAUGGGGCCCUGCGUUGGGUCUCUCCACCAUGAGGACAGGGUUUAAUAAGUAAACAGGAGCGGCAGGGUCUGGUCCUCCUGAUCAGGUCUUAUUAGCCCGGCCCCCCGGUCCCCCCGGCCCCCCGGUCCUCCUGGCCCCCCGGUCCUCCUCGCUCUGAGCUGAUUAGUCCUGCUGAUAGUUCUCUGUAAUUGCAGAGUCCUGACCCCCUCCAGGCAAAUAUUAGAUUUUAGUGGUUUAACCUCUGUGAGCAGAUGUGAUGGAGCCCAGCGGUGGUCCUCCUCCUCCUCG